CGGGUGUAGCUCAGUCGGUUAGAGCGCUAGAUUGUGGAUCUAGAGGUCGUGGGUUCGAUCCCCAUCACU
rnacentral:tRNA from 1 species